rnacentral:snoRNA from 1 species
AACCCAUGAUGAGAACACCUUCUCAAAAGAUCUUUAAAUCUCUCUCAUGUAUCAUAUAGUGUCUCAAAGUCCAUUUUGGCAAAAGAAGAGAUGUUAUUUCUUAACUU